UUACCAACCCGAUGCAAACUGCGAAUACCGGAGAAUGUUAUCACGGGAGACACACGGCGGGUGCUAACGUCCGUCGUGAAGAGGGAAACAACCCAGACCGCCAGCUAAGGUCCCAAAGUCAUGGUUAAGUGGGAAACGAUGUGGGAAGGCACAGACAGCCAGGAUGUUGGCUUAGAAGCAGCCAUCAUUUAAAGAAAGCGUAAUAGCUCACUGGUCGAGUCGGCCUGCGCGGAAGAUGUAACGGGGCUAAACCAUGCACCGAAGCUGCGGCAGCGACACUAUGUGUUGUUGGGUAGGGGAGCGUUCUGUAAGCCUGUGAAGGUGUGCUGUGAGGCAUGCUGGAGGUAUCAGAAGUGCGAAUGCUGACAUAAGUAACGAUAAAGCGGGUGAAAAGCCCGCUCGCC
rnacentral:rRNA from 1 species